UUUUGCUUGCUUCCUGGAGAGGCCGGCUGGCAGAGAGAAACAGAAAAUAAAGGAAAAAAGCUGAAUCCCUCCACGAACUGACUCAGCCUUUCACGGCUAGUGUUGUCAUUACUGUUUUUUGUCUUCCCUUUUCAGCUGCCAGGGAUUAAGAGGAAAGAAAAUAAAAGGGCAAGAAAGUUUGGCAGGGAAAGUUAGUAUCUGGUGCUGUGAUACUUUGGAGGUGAAGCAGCUUCAGCUCCUUCCAUGGCCCUCACUCCAGAAAAACAAAGAGAAAUUUGUGAUAUGCCAUUGUGCUUUUACAGCAAUGCCUUUGAGGGAAAGGUGAGGUUUUCCUACAGCAGAGCCGUGAGCAGGUUGGCCCAGGAACAUUCCCGUCUGAAAGAUUUCUGUCAACAAGAGUUCCUUUGACAGAGUAAGAUGGCAGAAGAAAUGUCUGCAAGUUGGAAAAUGAGCUUAAUGUGCUAAAUUGUUGCCAGAAUCCACAGAAUCGCCAGAGAGCCACUCCGAAGACGUGUCCUGCUGAUUCCACGAGGAGGAGAUAACAGUUCUAUUGAUUCAAGUUAUUCUUACCUGGAGCUCCAUCUAAGUAUAGAAAAUGUGCCCAAAGCUGUCACCUCUUCACGGUAUUUGUACACCUUUAUAUAAUGCACACCAUGAAAGAAGUCAUCCUACAGAUUUGCCUCUUGAAAUUUUUCACUGCUGAGAUUCUGAGGAAGUUCCUAACAUAAUAACCCCACACACAAUCCACACGGCAGCACCGAAAGCUACAUAGAAUAAGUUGCUCCUUGAGUACAGGUAAGACGAAGAUUACUGCUGCUGGAGUUGUUGGCAUCUGACGUACAGUUCAAUUCCUAAAGCUGUUUUUAAACCUAGGAUGGACUUUUUGAUGGAGGAAAACAUGACAUUACAUUGCAUAAAAUUCUAGCUGCUUCUCCUACCCAGCUGACGUUGUUCUCCAAGAUUCCCGGCACUUUUGCCAUUUGGCCUCUGGUGGCACAUGGACACUGGGGCCUAUUUUCAACAAUAGAUACGUCAAAAAAAAAAAAAAAAAAGGGUUGCAUGCUUAAUGGUCACCCUGAAACCAAAUUCACGAAAUCAUAAGAACACAAAGCAGUCCCUGAAGAGUCUGCAGGUGUCAUGAGACUGUGUUCCAAGCAGCCUCACAGGGAGACAUUACUUUGGUGAAUUUUUCCACAGUGCAAACUCCGGUCCGUGGCUUUGCACCCUCAGCAGCCAGAUCUAUCAGCAAAGCCGGAGGAAAUGCACACGCCAGAGGCGGGCUUAGAACUCAAAGAGCACAAAACGCUAAAGACUGCUGUCAAGAUCCAAAUGUGUUAAUUUACAACAAGAAGCAGAGUGUCAGAGCACAACACCCGUGGGGGCAAGCCAGCUCAUUCUCUUUCUGCAGACACACCUCCCGGAAGAGCCAGAUCAUAAUCGCAAGGUCACUUGGUGAUGAAAAAAUGGAACAGAAGUCUUACGUAACUCAAAUGGAAGGCCAGGAUUCAGAUUCCAGUUCCACCACUUCCUGAUUUACCCUGAUGUCUCACAGGAGGGAGCAGUGACCCCGAAGACUCACCUAGCAGCGAGGGGUCCACCCCCCCACCCCCCACCCCCCACCCCUGCAGUGGCUUUGGCUGGGAACUGCAGGCUCACCUCCGUGGCUCAUCAGUCCCUCUGCUGAAUGACAGACGUUUCCUUUAGAUGUGUCCAUGUCUAACUCUGGGAGACAAACAGUUACCCUAAAGGAACCUCUGCCCUCUCUGCCAGUGCCAUUUAAAGGUGUCAUCGGAUCCGUUUCUUUUUUCUUCUUCUUAUUUAUUUGUAUCAUCAUUCUUCUUUUCUGUUCACGCCACCACCACCAGGCAAGUCUACCCCCACAUCUCCCCAAGGCAGGAGCCUAACUGGCUUACGUCCCUCAAGCCUGUCUCAUUGUCCAACUCCAAAGAUCGCUACUACGUGCACACGUACUUCAGGUUAAGGUUCUAUACAUGUGUUUUCCCAUUUCCCCCUUUCACUCAUAGCAGAAACUCCCAGUGAGUCCUAGUGCCUUCAAAGUUAAGUUUGAACUGCUUAACCUGCCAUUCACAUUCUUUUGUAUCUGUGGGGCACCUGGGUGGCUCAGUCAGUUAAGAAUCUGACUCUUGAUUUCUGCUCAGGUCAUGAUCUCAUGGUUUGCAAGUCUGAACCCCACAUCAGGCUCUGUGCUGAUGGUGCGGAGCCUGCUUGGGAUAUUCUCUCUCUCUCUCUCUCUCUCUCUCUCUCUCUCUCCCUCUCCCCUUCUCUCUGCCCCUUGACCCCCCCCAUCCUCUCUCUCUCAAAUAAAUAAAUUUUUUAAAAAUUUUUUAAAAAUUCUUUCAUAUCUGUGCCCAAUUUAUUAUCACUUUCCUACUAUAUGAACCUUGGCUCUAGUUAAAUCUACUGUUUCUUAAUAUUCUAUGAGCACCCCUAAUCCAUGUUUCCGCUUGUUCCUGGGGUCAACUCAACAUCAGCCUCCUCAAUUAGAAUAAACUACCAGCAGGUGGAGAAAAUACAUCUUGCAU